rnacentral:pre_miRNA from 8 species
GCCUGGCUGUAGCAGCACGUAAAUAUUGGAGUCAAAGCACUUGCGAAUCCUCCAGUAUUGACCGUGCUGCUGGAGUUAGGC